rnacentral:rRNA from 1 species
CAGCAGCCGCGGUAAUACGAGGGGAGCUAGCGUUGUUCGGAAUUACUGGGCGUAAAGCGCGCGUAGGCGGCUUUUUAAGUCAGAGGUGAAAGCCCGGGGCUCAACCCCGGAAUUGCCUUUAAAACUGGAAAGCUAGAAUCUUGGAGAGGUCAGUGGAAUUCCGAGUGUAGAGGUGAAAUUCGUAGAUAUUCGGAAGAACACCAGUGGCGAAGGCGACUGACUGGACAAGUAUUGACGCUGAGGUGCGAAAGCGUGGGGAGCAAACAGGAUUAGAUACCCGCGUAGUCCCUGUCUCUUAUAC